UGGAAAGUUCAUUGUUCGGCACCAUGGAUCUCCAGGUGGGUCACGGUUAGAAAUACACCAACCUGGAGGACUCCAUGCUGUCGAGCUGUUCAUGA
rnacentral:pre_miRNA from 1 species